GACGAACGCUGGCGGCGUGCCUAAUACAUGCAAGUCGAACGGUCUUUUCUAUGGAAGCUUGCUUCCGCUGAGAAGAUAGUGGCGAACGGGUGAGUAACACGUGGGUAACCUGCCCAUAAGAGGGGGCUAACAACCGGAAACGGGUGCUAAUACCGCAUAGUUUUCUUGAUCGCAUGAUUGAGAAAGGAAAGACGGCCUUGGUGCUGUCGUUUAUGGAUGGACCCGCGGCGUAUUAGUUGGUUGGUGAGGUAACGGCUCACCAAGACGAUGAUACGUAGCCGACCUGAGAGGGUGAUCGGCCACAUUGGGACUGAGACACGGCCCAAACUCCUACGGGAGGCAGCAGUAGGGAAUCUUCCGCAAUGGACGAAAGUCUGACGGAGCAACGCCGCGUGAGUGAAGAAGGUUUUCGGAUCGUAAAACUCUGUUGUCAGAGAAGAACAAGUCGGAGAGUAACUGCUCCGGCCUUGACGGUAUCUGACCAGAAAGCCACGGCUAACUACGUGCCAGCAGCCGCCGUAAGAC
rnacentral:rRNA from 1 species